UGAAGUUCUUAUACAAAUCUUUCACUUC
rnacentral:misc_RNA from 1 species